UCAUGCAGGAUUUGAAACAAACACAUUCUUCAUUUUGUAUGUCACACUCAAAAUCAAUGUUCUGUGAUCACUGGCAUCGUCAUCAUCAAUAUUAUAACAAACCUAUCACAAAACAUUGAUUUUGAGUGUGACAUACAAAAUGAAGAAUGUGUUUGUUUCAAAUCCUGCAUGAG